rnacentral:rRNA from 1 species
AGUGGCGGACGGGUGAGUAACGCGUGGGUAACCUGCCUCAUACAGGGGGAUAACAGUUAGAAAUGAUUGCUAAUACCGCAUAAGACCACAGCACCGCAUGGUGCAGGGGUAAAAACUCCGGUGGUAUGAGAUGGACCCGCGUCUGAUUAGGUAGUUGGUGGGGUAACGGCCUACCAAGCCGACGAUCAGUAGCCGACCUGAGAGGGUGACCGGCCACAUUGGGACUGAGACACGGCCCAA